AGCGAACGCUGGCGGCAGGCCUAACACAUGCAAGUCGAACGAACUCUUCGGAGUUAGUGGCGGACGGGUGAGUAACACGUGGGAACGUGCCUUUUGGUUCGGAAUAACUCAGUGAAACUUGUGCUAAUACCGAAUGUGCCCUUCGGGGGAAAGAUUUAUCGCCAUUAGAGCGGCCCGCGUCUGAUUAGCUAGUUGGUGAGGUAACGGCUCACCAAGGCGACGAUCAGUAGCUGGUCUGAGAGGAUGACCAGCCACACUGGGACUGAGACACGGCCCAGACUCCUACGGGAGGCAGCAGUGGGGAAUCUUGCGCAAUGGGCGAAAGCCUGACGCAGCCAUGCCGCGUGAAUGAUGAAGGUCUUAGGAUUGUAAAAUUCUUUCACCGGGGACGAUAAUGACGGUACCCGGAGAAGAAGCCCCGGCUAACUUCGUG
rnacentral:rRNA from 1 species